rnacentral:rRNA from 1 species
GACGAACGCUGGCGGCGUGCCUAAUACAUGCAAGUCGAACGCAGUAGGGACGGGUGAGUAACACGUGGGUAACCUCCCAUCAGAGGGGAUAACACUUUGACACAGGUGCUAAACCGAUACUGAUGGAUGGACCCGCGGUGCAUUAGCUAGUGGGUGAGGUAAAGGUGCACCAAGGCCACGAUGCAUAGCCGACCUGAGAGGGUGAUCGGCCACACUGGGACUGGGACCCGGCCCAGACUCCUACGGGAGGCAGCAGUAGGGAAUCUUCGGAAAUGGACGGAAGUCGUACCGAGCAACGCCGCGGUAGUGAUGACGGCCUUCGGGUUGUAAAGCUCUGUUAAUCGGGACGCGGUACCGGAAUAGAAAGCCACGGCUAACUACGUGCCAGCCGCCGCGGUAAUAC